AUUGAACGCUGGCGGCAGGCCUAACACAUGCAAGUCGAACGGUAACAGGAAACAGCUUGCUGUUUCGCUGACGAGUGGCGGACGGGUGAGUAAUGUCUGGGAAACUGCCUGAUGGAGGGGGAUAACUACUGGAAACGGUAGCUAAUACCGCAUAACGUCGCAAGACCAAAGAGGGGGACCCUCGGGCCUCUUGCCAUCGGAUGUGCCCAGAUGGGAUUAGCUUGUUGGUGGGGUAACGGCUCACCAAGGCGACGAUCCCUAGCUGGUCUGAGAGGAUGACCAGCCACACUGGAACUGAGACACGGUCCAGACUCCUACGGGAGGCAGCAGUGGGGAAUAUUGCACAAUGGGCGCAAGCCUGAUGCAGCCAUGCCGCGUGUAUGAAGAAGGCUUUCGGGUUGUAAAGUACUUUCAGCGGGGAGGAAGGGAGUAAAGUUAAUACCUUUGCUCAUUGACGUUACCCGCAGAAGAAGCACCGGCUAACUCCGUG
rnacentral:rRNA from 1 species